UGCCCAGCAACUCCUAUCCCUACCUCCUCGCGGUACUGGCCGGGGUACGAGUAACCUUAGGGAAGAUCGGGUAACCAACCCCCGGUGGGAACUUUGGUCGUAUGCUGACAGGGAAGU
rnacentral:ribozyme from 1 species